rnacentral:rRNA from 1 species
GGAAUUUUGCGCAAUGGCCGCAAGGCUGACGCAGCAACGCCGCGUGGGUGAAGAAGGCCUUCGGGUCGUAAAGCCCUGUCAGGUGGGAAGAACGACCGGGAAGUGAACAGCUUUCCGGUGUGACGGUACCACCAGAGGAAGCACCGGCUAACUCCGUGCCAGCAGCCGCGGUAAUACGGGGGGUGCAAGCGUUACUCGGAAUCACUGGGCGUAAAGGGAGCGUAGGCGUUUUAUUAAGUCUUGAGUGAAAGCUCGCAGCUCAACUGCGGAACUGCUCAGGAAACUGAUAGAAUUGAGUAUGGGAGAGGUAGGUGUAAUUGCCGGUGUAGGGGUAAAAUCCGUAGAUAUCGGAAGGAAUACCAGAAGCGAAGGCGACCUACUGGGACAUUACUGACGCUGAGGCUCGAAAGCGUG